AGUCUUGAGGUGAUUAAUCACAUUGAAUUGCAAAUUCAAAGGAGCAGCUUCAGAGCUGCCGGGACUU
rnacentral:tRNA from 1 species